AAUUAUUCUUGGAGACGGAAAUAGGCAUUUUCUCGCAGAUAGUGCUAUUCACUCUCUUCUCUAAUAGUGACCUCCCAAAGAAAUUCCUUCAUGAAGAAGACAUUUCUGUGGGGAAAAGGAGGAAUGUGAACUUGUAUAUCCUGAUAAGUAGCUGCUGCUAAAUUAUUAACUGAAUAUCUCAGCCUCACUUCUGGCAGUUCCAGCUCUUGUUCUCCUUCAGAGCAGCUUUGUCUUUAAGUGUAAUAAUUGUUAACGGUAGCAGGAAGACUGAAAAUGAAGGGAACAGAAGCUUAUAUUUUAAAAAAAAACCUUGCUGCAAAUCUCUCUUUUUAAGCAGUCCUGACUUAGUUAUAAACAAAUGAAUGUACUUUAUUCAGAUGUGGAUAGGUUUUUGUGCUGUGGGUUUGUUUUUUUUUUUUUGUGAUGGGGGAAACAGAUUUUUAUAUAUGUAAUUAGGUUAUUGAUCCUGUACUGCCUAUGGAUUGAAGUCAAAAGCUAUUAACUUCAAGUAUUCACAGCUUUAAAUGCACCAAGGCAGAGUAUUUACAAGGGAAAAAGAACCUGUAUGGAUGCACUGUUGUGUGCAGAGAGACAUUAUGGGUGCUAGGCCACACUAUUUGAAAUUCUAUGGAUAUACCUAGCAUUUAAUGCUGAAGUUGAAGGGGUGUCUGCUCCUGUUGCACAGGUUCCUAAGCACUUUCACCCACACAACAGUUUUGGCUGGGAACUCGUACUGGUUUUAGUGCUGUGCAUUGUUAGCUUGGAUUUGCCGAAGUACUGAUGUUCAGCUCUGGGUUGGUUACUGCAAAUAAGGUCAGCUCAGCUGAAAGAGGAUUUGCAGUAGCUUGGAAGAGGAAGGAGUUUGCUGAACCCCAGAGGUCUAGGAGGAUAUGUACAGGGAGCCCAGGAAACUAAUGACAAGGGACUUCAGAGGGACUAUUUUUAAUGUUUUUGUUUGCACAUUUGGUCACUAUAUUAAAGAUCUUUGGCCUCAAGAAGCUGACACAGAGGCAACACUGCCUAGCUGCUCUCAAAAGUGACUACAAAACCUUUUUUCCUAAUCAGACCCAACCGUCUGCUCCUUGGUGGCUCCUCCAGAGCAGGAUGGUCAUACAGGCCAUCUGCAGUACUUGCUCCCAUCUGCUUGCACUUCACUUUGCUUUCUGUGCUAUUGGUGGUUUUUGUUAAUGCUGCUUUGGCAUGAACAUACUAACCCUGCUUGAGAAAUCCUCUCUCCAUUUUGCAGCUAUCUGGUACAGAGUCCUUGCUGCCGCCUCUGCUGGGUACAGCUCCUAGGCUAUUCUCCAGGAGGGCAACUAUAGGAGAGUGAAUGUUCAGGUAUUUCAGCUGGUUUUAACUGAGCUAAUUUUAACUGGUUUAAUCCAGUUUAGAGCUCUGCACAGGUUAAUGUUGUCCCCUUCCAAAUUAACUUGCAGAGUUUUGUGCUCUGGAGCUGAACUGUUCUUGGUGCUGGUACUAGGUUUUGAAAGCUGCUUUGUUGAUUUUCAGACUGCAGGUAGGUUACACAUAUGUUUGUGAUCCUCCUCUGUCCCUGCUUUAUGUUUUUAAAUCCUACCUGGGGAGCCUGGAAAUAACCUUGCCUAACUUCUAACCUCUAGAGGCAUCUAAUUUUUCCCAUAUAGAGCAAGUCCCUGAGCCUUUGAAUCUCUAGAUUCUUCUCUUGUGCUCAUGUGUCUAAUAGUUAAUCAUUGCAAUGUUCUGCAUUUGGGCAAAAAUCCUUGUUCUUUUUUUAAUUAAUUUUUUUAAUGAAGACUUCGGCAGGUGUCUCGGUGAUUCUUGGAACAUUUGGGGAGUAAAGAAACAAGAAGGUGAGUAGUAAGAGAAAUACUUCAUUUAGUCUGCAGGCACCCCGAGCAAACUAUAUUCCUAAUUUUCUAGUUAGAAAGAAGAAAAUAUGUAUGAAAUUAGUGGUGAGUACCUGUCACUCUACAUUUCAGACCAAGGCUUGUUUAUAUUAACUAUAAUUUUCCUUAUCUACUACCUAAGUUGGAAUUGGAUCCUUGAGGAAAUUUUUAUGAAUGGCAUCUAUAAUGUAAUAUUUUAAAGCCUUUUCAACAUCUGAUAGAAGUUUCAAAACUCUGACAAUGUGGGAGGGAGAAUAUUCUAUUGAACACAGCUAUGCUGAAGAUGUUUUCUUAAUAGAUUUGUGGAUGAAUAUAAAAGGCUAUUAGAAUUGUCUGGCCUCAUGUUACCAAGAUGAACAAAUUUUACUCAGUAAUGUUUUUAGGAAGCCUACUACUUCUCUUUGAACAGUGGUGUAUAGUACAGGAUGUAUCAUAAAUAUUUAUGCACAAGUAUAAGUACAUGCAUCCUAAACUCAAUGAAUGAAAAUUUGAUUGCGGUCAAAUUGAAGAUGUGAAUUUCCAGAGGGAUUACAAUGUCUAAAGGGUAACCUUAGCUAGAAAAGAUUAAUAGAAUUAAAAGAGACUAUUUCAUAUUCAUUGAUAAUACUUCUACUUCAGAAACAGAGUUGGCAUGUCUUCAUCUAUAUUGUUUAUUAAAACCUCUCCUUUUUGCUUUGAUUCUCUCAUGCUGUGCUUAGAAUUUCUAUUUGCUGAGGACUUAAACAUUCACAUUUGCUUCCUGAGUCUUUUCUUAAGCUUGUGUCAGACAAAACGAAAGAAAAACAAAGAUUGUCUGGAAAUUCUAAAGUAAUUUAGUUUUAUAAAUCCUUUCAGGAGAUCCUGUGUUUACUAAGUGAACUACAUAGGGUUAAUUUACUAAAGUGUUCUGAAGGACUUGCCCAAAUGAGAAAAGAAACAUUAGCUAGAUUUGAUGUUCUUUGCCAGGAACAAAAGUAAAACAAAUCAGUGGCAGGAUGAGUGGAUCCGGUUAAAUAAUAAUGUCUCUCCAGCAGGAAGUCUGUCUGUCAACUGAAAGGUGAGACAGCAACAUAAUAACAAUGCCCCGUGGAUCAACUCUGAGAGUAAAAAAAAAAACAUCCCACAACAAAACCCACCCCCAAAAACCCGCCAAUGAAAAUAUAAGAUGACAGAAUUCACAACAGCAUUUUUUUAGUCUUUAAGCUCAAGCGUCUGGAAACACAUUUCUUCUCUAGGGUUAUUCACAUGCAGAUUCCUCCUUGUGGUGGAAUGCCCCAGGGUAAUGAGAGCAGAAUUUGGCCCUUUCUGUUUGCUCACUGAGGCCAAGUGCUGCUUUCUCAGUGAAAUACCUGCCUUAGAGCUGUACAGCUGUGAUAUGCAAAAGUAGCUUAGGCAUUUCCUUUUUUUUUGGUAUAGGAGGUGAGUCCUGUGAAAGCCGAAGACUUUGUGUGGAAAUGAAGCACACAGGGGUAGGUGACAUGCACGAGUCUCGGCUGGAGAACUCAGGAUGUGGGGAUGCUUUUGUGACAGCAAAUGUAGAAAUAAGGCUUAUCAGAAUUAAUAUCAAGUUAAAACAUCCACAAAAGCUUUUCAGUCUGGUGCUCUGUUAUUUGUAUUUCAGUUCUGGAUGAGUGCAAUGCUCCUAGGACACACAAAAAUUCCCUGGAACCAACAGUUUUACGUGUUCAUUGUCUCUGAGAGAAAAUCUAGUUAUUUAACGUGUUAUUUAGAUAUGGAUUUAACAGCUGACAGAAGUUUGAAAACUUUGGUCUCUGCUUCUAGGACUCUCAGCACACCAUUUUCCAAAAUCAGUGUAUUUUUUUUUUUAGCAUAUGAAGCCUUCUCACACUGGCAUCGAGAAAUCCCAAAUUGCUGUUUGUGUGCUUAAAACAUCUGCAGGAAACAAAGUAGUUGGGUUGCUUUGCAGUGAUCAGAUCUCAUUUCCAUUUGGUAAUUGCUGUGAAAGGUUUACCUGCUGCAGUGUAGUUUAUUUUGUCUGGAAACGCCUCUGUCUCUGUGGCUGCUAAGCAACAGCCCAGAUAUUUACUGUCAAACAAAUAAAACAAAAGCCUCAUCCGCCACUUGGAGUCCCAACGUCAUUGUUACUGAGCCACUCAGCUGGGUCAUCAUAUUUGAGAGUCAGCCCUAAACUUAGUUUUUGACCACACAGUAAUUUAACUGUAGGAAUCCCUUCAGUUUUCACAUUAAGUAGCGAGAUUGUAACUAUAUGGAAGUAUUCUAAUGGCUCAUAUAUUAUUUAUUUUAAAUUAUUAUGUUUUUCUCCCAUCAAAGGGGGAAAGGAAAACAUACCUCAUGAGACAGUCUAAUUUUCAAUAGUAGAGUUACCUUUAUGGUUACCCUGGAACAAAGAGAGAUUUCUUUAAUAAGUUCCUACUAUGAUUAGAGCUGAGCUCUUCCCUUCUAUUACCUCGCUUGCUUGACCCAAAACAAUAACCAAAAUAUAUUUCUUUAAAUCAGUCUGAGGAAAAAAGAGGAAUAUAACAGAAAAACCAAUUCCCAGAAGGAGCAGUCAGGCAGAAAUGUUACUGACGAAAGGAAAUUACCAUUGAGGCAAGUAGGUAAUCAAUAGUAAUCAAGUUGGUGGCUUUAAAAUACAGAAGUUUCCCUCAAGACUUGUAUUAUGUUCCUCUGCAGUGGGUCAGAGGUCAAGACAGACUAAUUGCAGUUGAGGUAAGCUUUUCAGAAAGAUCCAGGGGACAUAAAAAAUACAGGUUUUUUAGCUGGAUCUUGUCCCCUUCUUCAAGACUGCGGUUUCUAACUGUACCCUCUGUCACUAUGAUCACCAGCAAGUGGGUCACUCCUUCCUGUUUCAGCAGGUCUGUGCUUUGGUCAUUUUGGGAACUGAAGAUGACAUCUGCCAGAUGCCUGUACACAUACAGUCCUACACAGGGAGAGGCCUGAAAAGCACAGAGAACUGGUUUUGGGAAUAACUUCAAUACUGUUGCUAAAGCCUGUUGCCAAAAUUACCUUUCUGAACCUCACGGCAUGUUUGAUGUUCAUUGACAGACGUCAUGUGAAGCUGCAUAUCCCUCUCCAGGAGCAGAAAGGAGGCAACAGUGGCUUCAGUCUGCAAACUGACUGAAAUUUGACUUUGUCUCCUGCAGUGUUUGAACACCUGUAUCCUUUCUAGUCUGCUGGGUAUCACUUCAUAUUCCCUGAACUGAUGAUGGGAUUCUACCAGAUAUGUCAGAGGACAUGGAUUUGGCCGUGGAUGCUGUCCCUUGAAUUCAGCGAGAAGGUUACACACUGGGAAGGCAUAUGAAACCAGCUCUUAGAGAGAAACAAGUAAUGAAGACGUCUGGAUAGAGGAAGACACAUCAAAACCCACAAUUUAACAAAGUGGGUGUCUGAGAACAAGAAGCAGGAACUGGGGAGGCUGGGCCAAAUGCAUCUUUGUUUUUAUGACCAAGCUUGAAAGGGAAGUUGUGGAGCCGUGAUUUUGGUUUGACUUCUGCACAACUGUAUCUGACUUUCUUCUGCUUCUCUGUUCUGAUUUCUGGGGGAGUAUUCUGGCCCCUGUGUUAUUUCCCCCUGCCUGCCCAUGGUCUUCCUGAGACCUGCUGGCAGAGGGAGGUUUGCACAGCCUGAAGUGUUGACUCUGAGAAGUGUGAAGGAAACAGAACUGUGCUGGAUAACGUGACUCACCUUGGAGAAGUUGGUGUUUUCCGGCGGAGGAAAAGUGUAAAGUUUCAGCUUUGCUAGUCCAGAUGUUUUAUUGGAUAUUGCUGCAGUAAGAGAUACCCUGGUCUCCAUGUCUUGCUCAGUCCUGAACAGGAGAAUAACAAGUUACAGACUAACAUAAAUGUUUAAUGAUUUAUGAUUAAAAAGAUAUAUUAGAUGGUGACCAAAAUAUUAGGUUAAUUGACUACGGAGUCCUAAGUUCCCCAAAAAGUAGCAUUCCAGCCAAAUAUGGCUGAAAUAUCAGCUGUCUUAUGAUGAAUAUUUUAAAGAUAUACCUAGGGGUUCAUUCGCUUCAGUAAUGAGGACAGUUACCUCUAGGGAAAGGAAGCUAUAUUAUACUUGCCACUUAACCAGGGGCUGGUUUGACAGGUAUCAGCUCAGAAUAUAUGUGUAUAUAUAGGGAAUCACAGCAGCCUGUCUCAAGCUUACUGAGCAGGAAAUGUUGUGCUGUACAAUACUUUGGGUUUCUAUCUAUGGAUUUGUGGAUGGCACUGAGUGGGAUUCAGACUAUUUUUAUUUCUGAGUCUGAUUGUUGAGGUGGAAUCCAUCACCUACUAAAUAUUAAAUCAGCAGGUUUUUAAAAGAGCAACACUGUCUCUGCUGACUUGAAUAUUCUUAUGUGGCCCAGAGGAAAAGAGAAACAAAGACGAGAAAACUAUCGUCUUUGGCAUUCUUCUUAAUAUUAAUGAUUUCUCUAAAGUUUUCAGACUGUUGAAGGCAGAAAGUGAGAUAGUAGAACUUUCACAUAGGUAAGAAAUGACCCAGGUGAAAAAAAAGCAUACAUUAUAAAAACCACGGUGAAACUUCUGGAGUGGAAAUAUUUGUUGGAAGAGAUGGAAAAAAUGCAUCAACAGAUUAUUUUUAAACAAGUUUUGUUUAAUUGUUUCCAAAAACACAUUGGGCUGGGAAUUACUAGGAAUGUGUCAGUUCAAAAUUACUUGAACAAUUUCAUGCAGAUGCAAUUUAUGUUAGAUUUUACUCAGUGUGGUUUCCGAAACCUAGUGUUUGCAAGUGCUGAAGUUUUGAGAUAACUACCCAACUUACAUGAUAUUGUUCAUCUUACCAGGCUGACUGGAACUGUAGAUAGUUCCUUCAUGUUUUUCUUUUUAAAGUUGCACUUCAUAGACAAUAUCCAAAGACACCAAUGCCUGAGGUUUCUGAAUGAGUAGUUCUAAUAUACCCAUGGUUGCCUAUAUGAACACUCAUCAUGCACCACUGCACAAAUAAAAGCCCAUCUCUGUCACUCUUAAAGGAUGCUUUGAGCCCUUUAAGGAUUCUUUAGGAUUUUAAAUAUUACUUUUCUGAUAAUGAGCAGGUAGGUGAAAUAACAAAGGCAUGACAAAGGAUGGCACAUUUUUUUUGGUUUUACAUUUUGUAAAAUAGUCACAUUUCAAUUCCAGAUAUCAAAAUGAAUAAUUUCUACACCAGUCUUCUAAAGUCAGUGAAGAGUCCUAAAAAGUUUCUGGUUGGUGACUGCUAAGAUGGAAGCUUACUUCUUAUGUUACAUUUUUAUAGCCUCAGAUGACAUAUCAAAAUGUCCUGGAUGCCCUGAUAUUUAAACAGUACAUCCCAUGCCAUCAUAUGGUGGGAGAAUUCCAGUCCUUUGCUUAAUUUCAAAUAAUUCUUGUUUAGCGAGAUGAAUUAUCUAGGUUU